AGCGAACGCUGGCGGCGUACUUAACACAUGCAAGUCGUACGAGGAUCGUCGGGUUAGCAAUAAUUCGGCGGUUCGAGUGGCGCACGGGUGAGUAACACGUGGGUAACUCACCCUUGAGACCGGGAUACCCUCUCGAAAGGGAGGCUAAUACUGGAUACGUUCCUCGGGACGCACGUCCUGGGGAGGAAAGGUGGCGAAAGCUGCCGCUCUUGGAGGGGCUCGCGGCCUAUCAGCUAGUUGGUGAGGUAACGGCUCACCAAGGCUAUGACGGGUAGCUGGUCUGAGAGGACGACCAGCCACACUGGGACUGAGACACGGCCCAGACACCUACGGGUGGCAGCAGUCGAGAAUUUUUGACAAUGGGGGAAACCCUGAUCGAGCGACGCCGCGUGGAGGAUGAAGGUCUUCGGAUUGUAAACUCCUGUCAUUGGGGAACAAUGCACAGAUAUUAACUGUAUUUGUGUUGAUAGUACCCGAAGAGGAAGAGACGGCUAACUCUGUGCCAGCAGCCGCGGUAAUACAGAGGUCUCAAGCGUUGUUCGGAUUCAUUGGGCGUAAAGGGUGCGUAGGCGGCGCGGUAAGUCGGGUGUGAAAUCUCGGAGCUUAACUCCGAAACUGCAUUCGAUACUGCCGUGCUUGAGGACUGGAGAGGAGACUGGAAUUUACGGUGUAGCGGUGAAAUGCGUAGAUAUCGUAAGGAAGACCAGUGGCGAAGGCGGGUCUCUGGACAGUUCCUGACGCUGAGGCACGAAGGUCAGGGGAGCAAACGGGAUUAGAUACCCCGGUAGUCCUGACAGUAAACGGUGCACGUUUGGUGUAGGCGGAUUCGACCCCGCCUGUGCCGGAGCUAACGCGUUAAACGUGCCGCCUGGGAAGUACGGUCGCAAGAUUAAAACUCAAAGAAAUUGACGGGGGCCCGCACAAGCGGUGGAGCAUGUGGUUUAAUUCGAAGCAACGCGAAGAACCUUACCAGGUCUUGACAUCCUCUGAAAACCCUAGAGAUAGGGCUUCUCCUUCGGGAGCAGAGUGACAGGUGGUGCAUGGUUGUCGUCAGCUCGUGUCGUGAGAUGUUGGGUUAAGUCCCGCAACGAGCGCAACCCUCGAUCUUAGUUGCCAUCAUUAAGUUGGGCACUCUAAGGUGACUGCCGGUGACAAACCGGAGGAAGGUGGGGAUGACGUCAAAUCAUCAUGCCCCUUAUGACCUGGGCUACACACGUGCUACAAUGGACGGUACAAAGAGCUGCAAGACCGCGAGGUGGAGCUAAUCUCAUAAAACCGUUCUCAGUUCGGAUUGUAGGCUGCAACUCGCCUACAUGAAGCUGGAAUCGCUAGUAAUCGCGGAUCAGCAUGCCGCGGUGAAUACGUUCCCGGGCCUUGUACACACCGCCCGUCACACCACGAGAGUUUGUAACACCCGAAGUCGGUGGGGUAACCUUUUUGGAGCCAGCCGCCUAAGGUGGGACAGAUGAUUGGGGUG
rnacentral:rRNA from 1 species